rnacentral:rRNA from 1 species
AGAGUUUGAUCCUGGCUCAGGAUGAACGCUAGCGGCAGGCCUCAUACAUGCAAGUCGAGGGGCAGCGGGACACUCCGGUGUUGCCGGCGACCGGCGGACGGGUGCGUAAUGCGCAUGCAAUCUACUUUACACUGGGGAAUAGCCUCCGGAAACGGGAAUUAAUACCCCAUAUAAUCUUAUUAGCGCAUGUUAAAAAGAUGAAAGCUCCGGCGGUGUAAAAUGAGCGUGCGUCCUAUUAGCUAGUUGGUGAGGUAAUGGCUCACCAAGGCUACGAUGGGUAGGGGUUCUUAGUGGAAGGUCCCCCACACUGGCACUGAGAUACGGGCCAGACUCCUACGGGAGGCAGCAGUAGGGAAUAUUGGUCAAUGGGCGCAAGCCUGAACCAGCCAUGCCGCGUGCAGGAUGAAGGCUCUCUGAGUUGUAAACUGCUUUUGUACAGGAGCAAAAAAGUCCCUGCGGGGAUUCUUGAGCGUACUGUUAAGAAUAAGCACCGGCUAAUUCCGUGCCAGCAGCCGCGGUAAUACGGGAGGUGCAAGCGUUAUCCGGUUUUAUUGGGUUUAAAGGGUGCGUAGGCGGCUUAUUAAGUCAGUUGUGAAAUCCUAGUGCUUAACGCUAGAACUGCGAUUGAUACUAUUAGGCUUGAGUUAAGAAGAGGUAAGCAGAAUUUAUGGUGUAGUAGUGAAAUGCUUAGAUAUCAUAAGGAAUACCAAUAGCGUAGGCAGCUUACUGGUCUUUAACUGACGCUGAGGCACGAAAGCGUGGGGAGCAAACAGGAUUAGAUACCCUGGUAGUCCACGCCGUAAACGAUGAUCACUCGAUAUACAUGAUACAUCAUGUGUGUCUAAGCGAAAGCGUUAAGUGAUCCACCUGGGGGAGUAUACUCGCAAGGGUGAAACUCAAAGGAAUUGACGGGGGUCCGCACAAGCGGUGGAGUAUGUGGUUUAAUUCGAUAAUACGCGAGGAACCUUACCUGGGCUAGAAUGUGUUUUGCUACCUUGAGAAAUUGAGGGUUCCUUCGGGACGGAAUACAAGGUGCUGCAUGGCUGUCGUCAGCUCGUGCCGUGAGGUGUUGGGUUAAGUCCUAUAACGAGCGAAACCCUUUUACUUAAUUGCCAGCACGUAAUGGUGGGGACUUUAAGUAGACUGCCCGUGUAAGCGGGAGGAAGGAGAGGACGAGGUCAAGUCAUCAUGGCCUUUAUGCCCAGGGCUACACACGUACUACAAUGGCAUGUACAAAGGGAAGCUACUUGGCAACAAGAUGCAAAUCUCAAAAGCAUGUCUCAGUUCGGAUUGAGGUCUGCAAUUCGACCUCAUGAAGUUGGAAUCGCUAGUAAUCGCGUAUCAGCAAUGACGCGGUGAAUACGUUCUCGGACCUUGUACACACCGCCCAUCAAGCCAUGGGAGUUGGUAGAGCUUGAAGACAGUGGCCGUAAAAGGAGCUGUUUAGUGUUAGACCAGCGACUGGGGCUAAGUCGUAACAAGGUAACCGUA